AGUCAGCCAAAUCAAAUGUCUUUCCAAUCCUUUUGUAAGAUGGAAGGAGUCCUCAGGGCUGCCAAAUUAGUUCUUAAGUGUAAUGGGAAAUAGUGGGCCUUUGAAUCAAAAAGGAAUACUUAGAACCUA